CUGCGUUCUCAGGGCGGGGUGAAACUCCCCACCGGCGGUAAUGCCCGGCUUCCGCCGGGACGAGCCCGCGGGCGCCUGGGGCCUUGCGGCUCCAGGGACGAGCAGACCCGGUGCGAUCCCGGGGCCGACGGUCAUAGUCCGGUUAUGAGAACCGCU
rnacentral:ncRNA from 2 species